AAACAUUAGAGAGAAGAAAAGACAGCCAAAAAAGAAACAGCCCGAAUUUAUAGGAGAUGCAGAUGAAAUCCGUUCCAGACCUCCAAGGAAAAUUAGCCUUUCUCUGACACACUCCUCAAAAUCCUUCCAGACUUGACCCACUAUUCACCACGGCAGCACAUCACCUCCAGAGUGAAGAAAAGUUUCAAACAUCAGGAAAAAAAAACAGCGCAUUGCAAAACAUAUUAGACUGAACCUAUCGAUGACAAAAUGCAACUGUGAAAUGUUGAGACUGUUCAUCAAAGCUGGACAUAAGCAGGAUCCAUUCCAUUUUCAAAGAGGUAGAGUGACUGUCUGAAAAAACAAAAGUAACUAGAAAAUUGAUAAAACUGACCGAGUCAUCUAUGCAGAAAGUUGCUUAUAUAGACCCAUAAUAUAAUACAUUUGUGAUCAUAAAGCACAAUUUUGAUUUUGGAAUUGCAAUCAUAGUUCAAGGCGAGUAACAAUUUUAACCUCUGUAAUUAUUUUAAAAGCUAAUGCACAUCCUUUAACAAUUCAGUUUGCUGAAAUGGUCACUUAUGCUUUUGUAUUUAUACACCUAAACAUCAUCUAAGUGCAAUAGAUUUUACAAUCCCAGGUGAUUUACCUAGACUGCAACAUUGUUAUC